AUUUUGGACAAUGGGCGCAAGCCUGACGACGCAACGCCGCGUGGAGGAUGAAGGUCUUCGGAUUGUAAACUCCUGUUGAUCGGGAAGAAUGGACUCCGGGUUAAUACUCCGGGGUAGUGACGGUACCGAUUGAGGAAGCCACGGCUAACUCUGUGCCAGCAGCCGCGGUAAUACGUAGGUGGCAAGCGUUGUCCGGAUUUAUUGGGUUUAAAGGGUGCGUAGGCGGUCUAUUAAGUCAGUGGUGAAAUAUGGCAGCUUAACUGUCAGGGUGCCAUUGAUACUGAUGGACUUGAGUGAAGUCGAAGUAGGCGGAAUUGACGGUGUAGCGGUGAAAUGCUUAGAUAUCGUCAAGAACACCGAUAGUGAAGACAGCUUACUAGGCUUAUACUGACGCUGAGGCACGAAAGUGUGGGGAUCAAAC
rnacentral:rRNA from 1 species